AGCCAGGAUGUUGGCUUAGAAGCAGCCAUCAUUUAAAGAAAGCGUAAUAGCUCACUGGUCGAGUCGGCCUGCGCGGAAGAUGUAACGGGGCUAAACCAUGCACCGAAGCUGCGGCAGCGGACGUAUCACUUAAAGCGAUUCAGCGGAUGACGAUUGACGGAGCGAAGCGACGUCAAAGCGUAUACAAAGUCGAGUCGGUUUAAGGAUACGUUGUUGGGUAGGGGAGCGUUCUGUAAGCCUGCGAAGGUGGCCUGUGAGGGUUGCUGGAGGUAUCAGAAGUGCGAAUGCUGACAUAAGUAACGAUAAAGCGGGUGAAAAGCCCGCUCGCCGGAAGACCAAGGGUUCCUGUCCAACGUUAAUCGGGGCAGGGUGAGUC
rnacentral:rRNA from 1 species